CGAUUUAGCGCCUGAUCCAAAGCUCAUUGAAGUCAAUGUGAAUCCUUUCAUUGACUUCAGUGGGCUUUGGAUCAAGUCUCUACCG
rnacentral:pre_miRNA from 1 species